UUAUUAUUAUUAUUAUUAUUAUCAUUAUUAUGAAAACCGACCCUCAGAAUGUGUUAGAAGUGUCUUGAAAAAUACAUUUGAAGAAAAUUUUGUCAUUUUAAAUUGGACAAAAUAUGAUAAUACUGUGAAGAGCACGUGUGUCGAACAGUGAGAAGAGCCACUGGCUUAAAUUCAGGAGAACCAGCGCCAACGAGACUAGGCUCUCUGCUUCGAAUUGGAUGCCUAGAAAGUUUCACUUUUAUAUGUACAUCUGCUAAGAUUUUACACUGUCGAAUCUAGAGGAUUGAAGGCCUUCCUCAGGUGCAAGGGAUGGACGAGAGCUCAUAAAAGGAGUUAACUCGACUAAAGACGACGCUUCUGACAACAACGUUGUAUAAUCAUACGCUCAAAUCUUUCUUUCUCUCUCUCUCUCUCUCAUAUAUAUAUAUUUUUUUUCGUUCAUCGAUCAAGAAAGUUAAAACUGGAAGUUUCAUUUGUCAUUGGUGCACACGAUUCAUUUAGAAGCGUCGUCACGGAGUCGCGUGGAUCGGUUCCGAAUCCAGGGAUGUAAAUCACUGUGCGAUACGAUUUUGUAAUGUAACUGUGCAUACGGAAGCAUGUAAUAAAAGAAGAGUAAACGACGA